rnacentral:rRNA from 1 species
UGACCUUAGCGGCGGACGGGUGAGUAAUACUUAGGAAUCUGCCUAUUAGUGGGGGACAACAUCUCGAAAGGGAUGCUAAUACCGCAUACGUCCUACGGGAGAAAGCAGGGGAUCUUUAUGACCUUGCGCUAAUAGAUGAGCCUAAGUCGGAUUAGCUAGUUGGUGGGGUAAAGGCCUACCAAGGCGACGAUCUGUAGCGGGUCUGAGAGGAUGAUCCGCCACACUGGGACUGAGACACGGCCCAGACUCCUACGGGAGGCAGCAGUGGGGAAUAUUGGACAAUGGGGGGAACCCUGAUCCAGCCAUGCCGCGUGUGUGAAGAAGGCCUUAUGGUUGUAAAGCACUUUAAGCGAGGAGGAGGCUUACCUGGUUAAUACCCAGGAUAAGUGGACGUUACUCGCAGAAUAAGCACCGGCUAACUCUGUGCCAGCAGCCGCGGUAAUACAGAGGGUGCAAGCGUUAAUCGGAUUUACUGGGCGUAAAGCGCGCGUAGGCGGCCAAUUAAGUCAAAUGUGAAAUCCCCGAGCUUAACUUGGGAAUUGCAUUCGAUACUGAUUGGCUAGAGUGUGGGAGAGGAUGGUAGAAUUCCAGGUGUAGCGGUGAAAUGCGUAGAGAUCUGGAGGAAUACCGAUGGCGAAGGCAGCCAUCUGGCCUAACACUGACGCUGAGACUAAUACUGAC